rnacentral:rRNA from 1 species
CCUGCUUGAUCCUGCUAGUAGUCAUAUAUUUGUCUCAAAGAUUAAGCCGUGCAUGUGUAAGUAUGAACAAAUUCAUACUGUGAAACUGCGAAUGGUUCAUUAAAUUAGUUAUAGUUUGUUUGAUAGUAUCUACUACUCGGAUAACUGUAGUAAUUCUAGAGCUAAUAUGUGAAACAAACCCCGACUUCUGGAAUGGAUGCAUUUAUUAGAUAAAAGGUCGAUGCAGGAUCUGCUUGUUGCUGUGAUGAUUUAUGAUAACUCGAUGGACCGUACGGCCAUCGUGCCGGCGAUGCAUCAUUCAAAUUUUUAUCCUAUCAAGUUUUGAUGGUAGGAUAAUGGCCUACCAUGGUGGUGAGGGGUAACGGAGAAUUAGGGUUUAAUUUCGGAGAGGGAGCCUGAGAAACGGCUACCAUAUCCAAGGAAGGUAGGAGGCGCGCAAAUUACCCAAUCUUGACACGGGGAGGUAGUGACGAUAAAUAAUAAUAUCGAGCUCAAUGAGUCUGGUAAUUGGAAUGAAUACAAUCUAAAUCCCUUAACGAGGAUCUAUCGGAGGGAGAGUCUGGUGCUAGCAGCCACGGUAAUUCCAGCACCAAUAACGUAUAUUUAAGUUGUUUCAGUUAAAAAGCUCGAAGUUGGACUUUGGGAUUGACCGGCCGGUCUACCUAUGGUGUGCAUUGGUCAUCUCGUCCCUUCUGUUGGGUUGUGCCUCCAGCGCUGUUACUUUGAAGAAAUUAGAGUGCUUAAAGCAAGCCUACGCUCUGUAUACAUUAGUAUGGGAUAACAUUAUAGGAUUUUGGUCCUAUUAUGUUGGCCUUUGGGAUCGGAGUAAUGAUUAACAGGGACAGUCGGGGGCAUUUGUAUUUCAUAGUCAGAGGUGAAAUUAUUGGAUUUAUGAAAUACGAAGAACUGCAAAAGCAUUUUCCAAGUAUGUUUUCAUUAAUCAAGAAUGAAAGUUGGGGGAUCGAAGGCAGUCAGAUACCGUCCUAGUCUCAACCAUAAACAAUGCCGACCAGGGAUCGGCGGAUGUUGCUUUUAGGACUUCGUCGGCACCUUAUGAGAAAUCAAAGUUUUUGGGUUCCGGGGGGAGUAUGGUCGCAAGGCUGAAACUUAAAGGAAUUGAUGGAAGGGCACCACCAGGAGUGGAGCCUACGGCCUAAUUUGACUCAACAUGGGGAAACUUACUAGGUCCAUACAUAGUAAGGAUUGACAAACCGUGAGCUCUUUCUUGAUUCUAUGGGUGGUGGUGCAUGGCCGUUCUUAGUUUGUGGAGCGAUUUGUCUGGUUAAUUCUAUUAAUGAACGAGACCUCAGCCUGCUAACUAGCUAUACGGAGGUAUCCCUUCGCGGCCAGUUUCUUAGAAGGACUGCAACCUUUUAGGCCGCGGAAGUUUGAGGCAAUAACAGGUCUGUGAUGCCCUUAGAUGUUCUUGGCCGCACGCGCACUACACUGAUGCAUUCAACGAGUUUAUAGCCUUCGCCGACAGGCCCGGAUAACCUUUGAAAUUUUAUCAUGAUGGGGAUAGAUCAUUGCAAUUGUUGGUAUUCAAUGAGGAAUUCCUAGUAAGCGCGAGUCAUCAGCUCACGUUGACUAUGUCCCUGUAUUUUGUACACACCGCCUGUCCCUCCUACCGAUUGAAUGAUCUGGUGAAAUAUUUGGAUUGCGAUGAUGUGGGUGGUUCGUAGCCCGUGACAUCUCGAGAAGUACAUUGAACCUUAUCAUUUAGAGGAAGGAGAAUUCGUAACAAGGUUUGCGUAGGUGAACUUGCGGAAG